AACGAACGCUGGCGGCAUGCCUAACACAUGCAAGUCGAACGAAACCUUCGGGUCUUGUUGCGCUCGGGUGCGUACCGCGUGGGAACCUGCCCUUAGGUUCGGAAUAACUCCCCGAAGGGGGUGCUAAUACCGCAUAAUCUCUUCGGACCAAAGAUUUUUCGCCUUUGGAUGGGCCCGCGUUGGCUUAGCUGGUUGGUAAGGUAAAAGCCGGCCAUGGCGACGUUCCAUAGCUGGUCUGCGAAGAUGCUAAGCCACGCUGGGACUGAGGCACGGCCCAGUCUCCUACGGGGGGCAGCAGAGGAGAAUAUUGGACAAUGGGCGAAAGCCUAGUCCAGCAAUGCCGCGUGAGUGGUGAAGGCCUUAGUGUAGUAAAGCUGUUUUUCCCGGGACGAUAAUGACGGUACCGGGAGAAUAAGCUCCGGCUAACUCCGUG
rnacentral:rRNA from 1 species